rnacentral:siRNA from 1 species
CUUUUAACUCCUUGAUCUCUUCAA